rnacentral:tRNA from 1 species
GUGAGCGUAGCUCAGGUGGUUAGAGUUCUGGAUUGUGGAUCCAGAGGUCGCGGGUUCAAGUCCCGUCGCUCACCCCA